rnacentral:rRNA from 1 species
AAUGCCUCGGGACGCAGCAGUAGGGAAUAUUGCUCAAUGGGGGGAACCCUGAAGCAGCAACGCCGCGUGGAGGAUGAAGGUUUUCGGAUUGUAAACUCCUUUUGUUAGAGAAGAUAAUGACGGUAUCUAACGAAUAAGCACCGGCUAGCUCCGUGCCAGCAGCCGCGGUAAUACGGAGGGUGCAAGCGUUACUCGGAAUCACUGGGCGUAAAGAGCGCGUAGGCGGGAUAGCAAGUCAGAUGUGAAAUCCUAUGGCUUAACCAUA